AUUGAACGCUGGCGGCAGGCCUAACACAUGCAAGUCGAGCGGAUGAAGGGAGCUUGCUCCUGGAUUCAGCGGCGGACGGGUGAGUAAUGCCUAGGAAUCUGCCUGGUAGUGGGGGAUAACGUCCGGAAACGGGCGCUAAUACCGCAUACGUCCUGAGGGAGAAAGUGGGGGAUCUUCGGACCUCACGCUAUCAGAUGAGCCUAGGUCGGAUUAGCUAGUUGGUGGGGUAAAGGCCUACCAAGGCGACGAUCCGUAGCUGGUCUGAGAGGAUGAUCAGUCACACUGGAACUGAGAGACGGUCCAGACGCCUACGGGAGGCAGCAGGGGGGAAUAUUGGACACUGGGCGCAAGCCUGAACCAGCCAUAGCGCGUGGGUGAAGAAGGUCUUCGGAUUGUAAAGCCCUUUAAGUUGGAAAGAAAAGCAGCAGGUUAAUAACUUGCUGUUCUGACGGUACCCAAAGAAUGAGCAACGGCUAACUUCGUG
rnacentral:rRNA from 1 species